UUGCAAUAUGGAGCAAGUGCAAUUACUUUUAAUUACAUGCAAUAGCAAUGGAACGUUAAUGUGAUAUUAGGUAGGUUUAGUUUUAGCAGUUUCUGACAUGAAAACAAGUGCAAUAUAUUCUACACAACCCAGUGGCUUUAAACGACUGAAUGAAUACGACGACAGUGUUUUGAAAAUUUCGUCUUUUUCGUUACGUAAAUACAAAUUGGGACUUGUACAAUUUAUAAGCAACAAUGGGAAACAAGCACGUAAACAGUCUUGUCCCUUAAAUACCAGUUGUGUGUAAACGAAUGGAAAUAAAACCACAAUCCCAGAAAUAUUUAAAAAUCAAUUCAUCUGGCACCACUGAAUGCUUGGUGGAUGAUUCUUCAUCUAGUCAAUGACCCAAUGUAAUAAGCAAAACAACGAGGAAGUGCAUCUACUUAGCGGACGAUAAUCAAACACCUUAUACAGCCUGAACUGUGAACAAAACGAUGUAAAUGUGCCACCAAUAAGCUAAUGUGACUGCCGUGCCGUGAUUUAAACAGGUGCAAUACUUCCAACCAACUGUAAUAAUGUAUGGUGUGUUACGCAAAUUUAGUCUCUGUGGCAGAGUCCUUCCGAUAAUUCGAAGUUCAAAAGUGGACUCAAAUCAAUAAACAGUACGAUCAAAUGGCUUUAAGUAUUUAAAAA